AUUAUUUAUUUUGAAAAUAAAUAUUCCACUUUCCAUCCAAUCUUUGAGUGUCGCUUAACCUAAUACGAGUAUUGCAUACACAAUACUUUGGAGAGAGUUGUGAGCCGUCAUUAUCAUUCUUAACCUCCUACCUCCAUUAUCUUUAUCAUUCAACCUCUUAUUGAUCCAUAAUCGGUCAUCUCCGGUUACUUUUCUCUCAAGAUCAGAAUUUAAAUUUAAUCUCUUUUUUUUUCGGUAUUUGAUUCCAUUAGACUGUGAACUGAAUCUCAAAUUUUGGAGUUUGAUUAUUUGAUAUGAAUUUCAUAAUUUGAGGUUUGAUUAUUUGGUGUUGUGAUGAUUUAGGUAGAUUCGGAUGUUGCAGGCUUGCAGCAACACCAUAUAAACACUCCAAGUCCAAUAUGGUAACCCUCUCUUACUCUCUCCUCCGAUUUUCCAUCAUUAUAUAGAAAACAUUGUACCAUGGUUACAAUUAAACAUUCUCACCUAUUGGAACUGAAAUACAUGAUAGAAGUUUUUAACCCACGAGACUAGGAUAGAUGAAUGAUGCAAGGGAGGAUGAUCGACGAGCCGAAGGCAGCAGGACUUGCAACUACAGUUCUUAGACCGAUUUUGAUCAGCACAACAAAUAGAAUCACAUGCUCAUUUCGGGAACUUGGGGUCCUUUUUUAAGUCAACUGAUUUCAUAAUUGUAUUAAAAUGUGGGGUUUUUUUAUUUUGUUUGUAAAUGGAGCUUUUAAUUAAUAUUUUAUCAUUGUUUUACAAUGUAGGUAGGCAAAGGAGACUAAUGGAAAGAAGUGAAAUAUGAGAAGCAAUUCCCCUUGUAAUUGCGAUAUGAGAAGUGAAAUUGCGAUAUCAGAAGUGUGCUUUUUUUUACCCCUUGUAAUUUUGGUAUUUUGUACUGAAAAUUCUGUAAUUGUAAGAUGGAUAUAUUUCGCGAAAUUGCAUUGUUGGGAAAUGCAAUAUAAAUGUUAAUAACACUUGAUAUUUAGAAAUUA